rnacentral:lncRNA from 1 species
UGGUAGCUUGAUGGGGAUAGCAUUGAAUCUAUAAAUUACUUUAGGCAGUAUGGCCAUAUUCACAAUAUUGAUUAUUUCUACCCAUGAGGAUGGGAUGUUUUUCCAUUUGUGUGCCCUCUUAUUUCCUUGAGCAGUGUGGUUUGUAGUUCUCCUUGAAGAGGUCCUGCACAUCCCUGUGCAUUGUAUUCCUAGGUACUUUAUUCUCUUUGUACCAAUUGUGAAUGGGAAUUCACUCAUGAUUUGGCUCUCUAUUAUUGGUAUAUAGGAAUGCUUGUGAUUUUUGCACAUUUAUUUUGUAUCCUGAGACUUUGCUGAAGUUGCUUAUCAGCUUAAGGAGAUUUGGGGCUAAGACAAUGGGGUUUUCUAAAUAUACAAUCAUGUCAUCUGCAAAGAGAGACAAGUUGACUUCCUCUCUUCCUAUUUUAAUACCCUUUAUUUCUUUCUCCUGCCUGAUUGCCCCGGCCAGAACUUCCCAUACUAUGUUGAAUAGGAGUGGUGAGAGAUGGCAUCCUUGUGCUGUGCCAGUUUUCAAAGGGAAUGCUUCCAGUUUUUGCCCAUUCACUGUGAUAUUGACUGUGGGUUUGUCAUAAAGAGCUCUUAUUAUUUUGAGAUACAUUCCAUCAAUACCUAGUUUAUUGAGAGUUUCUAGCAUGAAGGAGUGUUGAAUUUUAUCAAAGGCUUUUUUCUGCAUCUAUUGAGAUAAUCAUGUGGUUUUUGUCAUUAGUUCUGUUUAUGUGAUGGAUUAUGUUUAUUGAUUUGCAUAUGUUGAACCAGCCUUGCAUCCCAGGGAUGAAGCCAACUUGAUCAUGGUGGAUACGCUUUUUGAUGUGCUGCUGGAUUUGGUUUGCCAGUAUUUUAUUGAGGAUUUUCACAUCAAUGUUCAUCAGGGACAUUGGCCUGAAAUUUUCUUUUUUUGUUGUGUCUCUGCCAACUUUUGGUAUCAGGAUGAUGCUGGCCUCACAAAAUGAGUUAAGGAGGAGUCCCUCCUUUUCUAUUGUUUGGAAUAGUUUCAGAAGGAAUGGUACCAUCUCCUCUUUGUACCUCUGGUGAAUUUGGCUGUGAAUCUGUCUGGUCCUGAACUUUUUUUGGUUGGUAAGCUAUUAAUUACUGCCUCCAUUUCAGAACUUGUUAUUGGUGUAUUCAGGGGUUUGACUUCUUCCUGGUUUAGACUUGGGAGGGUGUAUGUGUCUAGGAAUUCAUCCAUUUCUUCUAGGUUUUCUAGUUUAUUUGUGUAGAGGUGUUCAUAGUAUUCUCUGAUGGUUGUUUGUAUUUCAGUGGGAUCAGUGGUGAUAUCCCCUUUAUCAUUUUUUAUUGCAUCUAUUUGAUUCUUCUCUCUUCUUUUUUAUUAGUCUGGCUAGUGGUCUAUCUAUUUUGUUGGUCUUGUUAAAAAACCAUCUCCUGGAUUCAUUGUUUUUUUGAAGCAUUUUUUUGUAUGUCUGUCUCCUUCAGUUCUGCUCUGAUCUUAGUUAUUUCUUGUCUUCUGCUAGCUUUUGAAUUUGUUUGCUCUUGCUUCUCUUGUUCUUUUAAUUGUGACGUUAGGGUGUCAAUUUUAGAUCUUUCCUGCUUUCUCUUGUGGGCAUUUAGUGCUAUAAAUUUCCCUCUAUACACUGCUUUAUCUGUGUCCCAGAGAUUCUGGUAUGUUGUGUCUUUGUUCUCGUUGGUUUCAAAGAAGAUCUUUAUUUCUGCCUUAAUUUUGUUAUUUACCCAGUAGUCAUUCAGGAGCAGGUUUUUCAGUUUCCAUGUAGUUGUGUGGUUUUGAGUGAGUUUCUUAAUCCUGAGUUCUAAUUUUAUUGCACUGUGGUCUGAGAGACAGUUUGUUAUGAUUUCCAUUCUUUUGCAUUUGCUGAGGAGUGUUUUACUUCCAAUUAUGUGGUCAAUUUUAGAAUAAGUGUGAUGUGGUGCUGAGAAGAAUGUAUAUUCUGUUGAUUUGGGGUGGAGAAUUCUGUGGAUGUCUAUUAGGUCUGCUCAGUCCAGAGCUGAGUUCAAGUCCUGAAUUUCCUUGUUAAUUUUCUGUCUCGUUGAUCUGUCUAAUAUUGACAGUGGGGUGUUAAAUUCUCCCAGGAUUAUUGUGUGGGAGUCUAAGUCUCUUUGGAGGUCUCUAAGAACUUGCUUUAUGAAUCUGGGUGCUCCUGUAUUGGGUGCAUAUAUAUUUAGGAUAGUUAGCUCUUCUUGUUGAAUUGAUCCCUUUACCAUUAUGUGAUGGCCUUCUUUGUCUCUUUUAAUCUUUGUUGGUUUAAAGUCUGUUUUAUCAGAGACUAGGAUUGCAACCUCUGUUUUUUUUUUUUUUUUUUUUUUUUUUUUUUUUUUUUUUUUUUUUGCUUUCCAUUUGCUUGGUAGAUCUUCCUGCAUCCCUUUAUUUUGAGCCUAUAUGCAUCUUUGAACAUAAGAUGGGUCUCCUGAAUACAGCACACGGAUGGGUCUUGACUCUUUAUCCAAUUUGCCAGUCUGCGUCUUUUAAUUGGGGCAUUUAGCCCAUUUACAUUUAAGGUUAAUAUUGUUAUCUGUGAAUUUGAUCCUGUCAUUAUGAUGCUAGCUGGUUACUUUGUCCAUUAGUUGAUUUAGUUUCUUCAUAGUGUCAAUGGUCUUUACCAUUUGGUGUGUCUUUGCAGUUGUUGGUACCAUUUGUUCCCUUCCAUGUUUAGUGCUUCCUUCAGGAGCUCUUGGAAGGCAGGCCUGGAGGUGACAAAAUCUCUCAGCAUUUACUUGUCUGUAAAGGAUUUUAUUUCUCCUUCACUUAUGAAGCUUAGUUUGGCUGGAUAUGAAAUUCUGGAUUGAAAAUUCUUUUCUUUAAGAAUGUUGAAUAUUGGCCCCCAUUCUCUUUUGGCUUGUAGGGUUUCUGCAGAGAGAUCUAUUGUUAGUCUGAUGGGCUUACCUUUGUGGGUAACCCAACCUUUCUGUCUGCCCUUAACAUUUUUUCCUUCAUUUCAACCUUGGUGAAUCUGACAAUUAUGUGUCUUGGGCUUGCUCUUCUCAAGGAGCAUCUUUGUGGUGUUCUCUGUAUUUCCUGAAUUUGAACGUUGGCCUGUCUUUCUAGGUUGGGGAGGUUCUCCUGGAUAAUAUCCUGAAGAGUGUUUUCCAAUUUGGUUCCAUUCUCCCCAUCACUUUCAUGUACACCAAUCAAAUGUAGGUUUGAUCUUUUCACAUAGUCCCAUAUUUCUUGAAAGCUUUGUUUGUUCCUUUUCAUUCUUUUUUCUCUAAUCUUGUCUUCACUCUUUAUUUCAUUAAGUUGAUCUUCAAUCUCUGAUAUCCUUUCUUCCGCUUGAUCAAUUCGGCCAUUGAUACUUGUGUAUGCUUCAUGAAGUUCUCAUGCUAUGGUUUUCAGCUCCAUCAGGUCAUUUAUUUUCUUCUCUAAGCUGGUUAUUCUAGUUAGCAAUUUUUCUAAACAUUUUUCCACGUUCUUAGCUUCCUUGCUUUGGGUUAGAACAUGCUUCUUUAGCUCAGAGGAGUUUGUUAUUACCCACCUUCUGAAGCCUAUUUCUGUCAAUCCAUCAAACUCAUUCUCCAUCCAGUUUUGUUUCCUUGCUGGACAGGAGUUGUGAUCCUUUGGAGGAGAAGAGGCAUUUCAUUUUUGGAAUUUUCAGCCUUUUUGCGCUGAACCCGUCUUCAUGGAUUUAUCUACCUUUGGUGUUUGAUGUUGGUGACCUUCGGAUGGGGUUUCUGAGUGGACUUUUUUUUAUUGAUGUUGAUGCUAUUCCUUUCUGUUUGUUAGUUCUUCUAACAGUCAGGCCCAUCUGCUGCAGGUCUGCUGGAGUUUGCUGGAGGUCCACUCCAGACCCUAUUUGCCUUGGUAUCAGCAGCAGAGGCUGCAGAAUAGCAAAUAUUGCUGCCUGUUUUUUCCUCUAGAAGCUUCAUCCCAGAGGGGCACCCACCAGAUGCCAGCUGGAGCUCACCUGUAUGAUGUGUCUGUCAGCCUCUGCUAGAAGGUGUCUCCCAGUCAGGAGACACGGGGGGUCAGGGACCCACUUAAGGAGGCAGUCUGACCCUUAGCAGAGCUCGAGUGCUGUGCUGGGAGAUCCACUGCACAGAGCUGGCAGGCAGGAACAUUUAAGUCUGCUGAAGCUGCGCCAACAGUCACCUCUUCCCGCAGGUGCUCUGUCCCAAGGAGAUGGGAGUUUUAUCUAUAAGCCUGUGACUGGAGCUGCUGUCUUUCUUUCAGGGAUGACCUGCCCAGAGAGAGGGAAGCUAGAGAGGCAGUCUGGCUACAGCGGUUUUGUGGUGCUGUGGUGUGCUCCUUUCAGUUCGAACUUCCUGGCUGCUUUGUUUACACUGUGAGGGGAAAACUGCCUACUCAAGCCUUAGUAAUGGUGGACGCCCCUCCCUCCAUCAAGCUCGAGCAUCCCAAGUCGACUUCAGACUGUUAUGCUGUCAGCGAGAAUUUCAAGCCAGUGGAUCUUAGCUUGCUGGGCUCCGUGGGGGUGGGAUCUGCUGAGCUAGACCACUCAGCUCCCUGGCUUCAGCACCCCUUUCCAGGGCAGUGAAUGGUUCUGUCUCACUGGCAUUCCAGGCGCCACUGGGGUAUGAAAAAAAAACUCUUGCAGCUAAGCUCAGUGUCUGCCCAAACGGCCGCCCAGUUUUGUGCUUGAAACCCAGGUCCCUGGUGGCAUGGGCACCCGAGAGAAUCUCCUGGUCUGUGGGUUGUGAAGACCACAGGAAAAGUUGCCACCAGAAGCCCCAUCCAGACACCAUGGAGAAGACGGAGCAUCAUAUGCAGACCCUGAACUUUGUGCUGCUGUUGCUGCUGCUGCAGCUGCAUUGACCUCAUGAGUUUUGGGGUUGCCUGUCCGGGUCUUGGGUUUGCCUCCCUGGGGAAAGUGUAAGUGUGUUCUGUGUAAGAGAGGAAGAACAGAUCAUUUGUGACCAGAAGGAAAGACUGUGGAGGACACUGGUUAGCUAGUCUCCAAAAACCACUUCCUUUUUCUCCCAGGCCCACUGCUACACUAUGCUUCCCAGGCUUCUUUACAGCUGCCAUAAUAUGUGUCUCUGCUCUGACCAAUGAAAUGUGGGCACCAGGCCUGGUACAUUAAGCCUCUGACUCAUGACCUUCUGUGCCCUCUCUUCCAAUGGCUACACUGGAGAUGACUAGGACAAUCUUAGGAGUCAGUGUGAAGAUGGUUGAUCCAAAGAUGGAGAAAUCUGGGUCCCUGAAAACCUGAGUCCCUGAGGGUGGAGAAAGGCCACCCUCUAGAAGCAACUGCAUUUGACUACUAACUGAGCAAAAAAUAAAUCAGCUUUAACCAUAUUAAACCCCUGAGAUUUGGGAGUUUAUUGCUAGGUUACCCUAAUCUAUAUACAAGCAGAAUGAAAAGCACGGGCAAAGACAGGAAGAUUGGAAUUCAUGACAUAGCCUGACGAGAGUGAGGACUUCUCUAGACAUGAGGGACAGAGUGACAGAAGAUGAGCUUGAAGGAUUCCUUUGGGAAAAUUCCUGCAGGUCUUGAAUGCCAUGCAAAGAUUUGGACUUUAUUCUACAGAAAAUGGGGACCACUUAAAAAAAGUGUUUUUUCUUCUAUUUAAAACUGCUAUAGUAAAUGCUGCCAGUAAUCUGCUCUUCUAAAGUAACUAAAAAUCCAAACUUUCACAUAUUAUUGCCCCCCCAAAAUUGAAAAUGUGAAAAAUGUAAUCACCAGGCUGACAACAGCUUUUGCAGUCUGUUAAAGCUGCAACUCGUAUCAAAUGAGUCCUGCCAAAUUCAUUGAGAAAUCAGUAACUAUCAGAGAAAAACUCCCAACAUGUAAUAUCUGCCUCUUCAUGAAACUGUGUGUGUGUGUGUGUGUGUGUGUGUGUGUGUGUGCAUGUGUAUAUCAGAGAGAUAUAUAUUUUUUCAGGUAAUAAAUGGUAUUCAUGCAACAAAACAAAAUCUGAAAUGGGGCUUCAAUUAAGGCCACAUUUACCAAACUUGUUCUGUGUGACAGGUGUUCUGAUAGGUGCCUAUGAUAGAAAAAUAAAUGAUCAACCAGGACUUCAAAUCACUCCCAGAUUAAUGCAAGAGGUAGGCACAUAAACAGGUUAACCAUAAGGGCACAUGCUACUAUAAAAAUAGGACUCACUAGAUCUAUGGAGGUUAGGAGAGAAUCCAAGAUGACUGAACUUUCUUAACCUGAUCCUGAAGAUCAUUCUUGAUCGGAUCCAACCUACCUUUGCAGGCUGAAAUUCCAUUACUUUUCUUCACACGAUUUCUUGCUCUUAGACCUAUCCUGCACUUUUGCACUUCCAUGCUUUGUCCUCUGCCUCGAAUUCUCUCCCUGACCUAUCACUAACCCCUGUUUACAGUGCCACUAAGAUUCCACUCAGGAAAUCUUCCCUGGUUCCAGUGGGAUGUAUCUUUUCCCUUCUUUAGAGUCUCUUCUUUUCUCUGUGUCCUGAGGAAGUUACCACUUUCUGCUUUGCAUCAUAGUUAUUUUCUGACUUGCUGGUCUUGUCUGAUCUCUACACUAAACCAUAAGCUCCCUGAAGACCAGGAGUGUUUCUAUUCCUUUCUUAUACUUCUGGUAUCAAGUAUAGCAAUUUGUAGGUACAUGGUGGAUGUUCAGUAAGUAUUUUCUGAAUGUCGGAAUGUAAAACUCAAAAGCCACUGGAGACACUGAAUCUACACACAACACUGCAACCCUCUCCUUGGCCAAGAGCUUCAUUGUUGGGUGAUAUAUGAUGUUUUCCUGGGAAAGGAAGGAGGGCAAUUUUGUAAGAGAAUUAAGUGAGGGUGCACAAGGAAAGUAAAAAUAGUGCUACAUUCCUGGUUCCAAAUAGUGUGUAGUUGUAUAACAAAAAUUAAAACUGUCCAAUAAGCCAAUAUCUUAGCUUAUUGAUUAAAAGAGAUUGAAAGCUCCAAAUCUUCUUUAUUGCAAAACAAUCUUUUAUAAAAGAAUCUCUAUUAACAUCAUGUCAGCAUUCUCUUACAAAAUCCAGCAAGGGGAAAAUGGGGAGUUGCCUCCCUUUCUAAUAUCAACACCAUUAAUAAACAGUAUUAACAUUCGGGCAGCUGAAUGGGGAAGAAAUAUUGACUAUCUGUAAUGUUCCCACAUUGGUGCUUUAAGAGUUCUGGAAGCUAAAACAUAGACAAAUCAGCAUUACUCAGUAGAGAAGGGCCAAAGCCAAAAGUAGAAAAGAUCAAUGUUUAUAAAAUAUUGAAGUAAACCAAAUUUGUUUACUAAGAUCUGGAAUAUAAUAAAGAAGGAGAAAUACAUUUGACAUUUAAAUGAGGACAAAUUUAGGGAAAAUAAAAAUACGUACAAAUUUUGUCUCAUUUGGGUAAACUUUAGGUUUUAGUUAACUAAGACAAGAGCAAACCAGAAUGAAAAGAUAAAUAAAUCCAUAAUGUCUCCAUAAAAAUUUAUUGAAAGUAGACUUUUGGGGGAGUGAUCCUGAAUCAGUUAGGUUCUAGGGCCUAGAGGCCACUGCAAUUAUUACAAGACCUGGAAAUACAUACUCACAUCGAGCCUUGUCUAUGGAUUGUACACAUGAUAUGCCUAACUCAUAUGUUCUACCAGUUGACAUGAACACAUAGAUACUUUACUGAUGAGUAACAGAAUGUCAGCAGGUUAGGGAAGCCAGGCAGGCUAAUCUCCCAGGGACACACUCUGUGGUAGAAGCUGUCAGAGGGAGGGAGGGGCCUUACUUUCUGGGGGGGCACAUAAUCAAUGACAGGGGUCACGGUAGGAGCAUGGGCUUUGAAAGGCCCUGAGUAGAAGAGAGAGGGGUAGAGCCAGUAAGACAGCCUAAGGCUGUAUGGAAAGCAAUGGAACCUCUCAGGGCUUCAGGAAAAUUUCCACAAUCAUAAAAUUCUGUAUAUGGUUAAAUUUUUUGUGGAAAAUGGUUAAAAGGCUGAGCUUCUGGAUUUGACACAGGGCUCCUCCCAGACAGAAAAAAAAAAGUGGGAAUAAAGCAAAAUAUAAGGAAUUAGAGGGGGAAACUCAAAGAAAAACUAACAGCACUUUGCAUGCUACAGCAUUAUAAGGCUCUGGAAAUGGAGUUCCAGCCAAAUUUCACCUGAGGUGAAUGGGGACCUUGAGUAAUACUUUAGUUUCUCUGUUGUUGUUGCUUUUGUUUUUGAGACAGGGUCUCCCUCUGUCACCAAGGCUGGAGUGCAGUGAUGUAAUCUCAGUUCACUGCAGCCUCAACCUCCCAGGGUCAAGCAAUCCUCCAGCCUCUCAGCCUCUCAAGUAGAUAAGACUACUGGCAUGUGUCACAACUGGCUAAUUUUUGUAUUUUUUGUAGAGAUGGGGUCUCACUAUAUUGCCUAGGCUGGUGUCAAACUCCUGGACCCAAGGGGUCCACCCACCUCGGCCUCCCAAAGUGCUGGGAUUAUAGGUGUGAGCUACCAAGCCCAGCUGUUGUUUAAGAGACAUGAUCUCACUCUGUGGAGAUCCUUCUGCCUCAGCCUCUUGAGUCGCUGGGACUACAGACGCAUGCCACCACACCUGGCUAAUUAUUUUUUUAAUUUUUGUAGAGAUAGGGUCUUGCUAUGUUGCCCAGGCUGGUCUUAAGCUCCUGGCCUCAAGCAAUCCUCCCACCUCAGCCCACCUAGUGGCUGGGAUUACAGGCAUGAACCACAGCACUCAGCCUUAGUUUCUUAAAUAAAUUCACUUUAAAAUGUUCCUGAAAUCUUGGAAGCUUUUUUCCACUAUUUGUUUUCAGUUGAUGGAAUAAUUUUUCAGUUGAUUCCAUUUCAGUUGAUGGAAUAAUUUUUAAUGGUUUACAUUUUAAAACAUUUUCAUAUUAUAAGCAUUAAGAACCAGCCGGGCACACUGACUCACACCUGUAAUCCCAGCACUUUGGGAAGCCAAGGCGGGUGGAUCACCUGAGGUCAGGAGUUUGAGAUCAGCCUGGCCAACAUAGCAAAUCCCCUUCUCUACUAAAAAUACAAAAAAUUAGCUGGGUGUGGUGGCAGGUGCCUGUAAUCCCAGCUACUUGGGAGGGUGAGACAGGAGAAUUGCUUGAGCCUGGGAGGCAGAGGUUGCAUUGAGCCAAGAUCACGCCAUUGCACUCCAGCCUGGGUGACAGAGCGAGAAUCUGAAAAAAAAAAAAAAAGUUAAGAGCCAUUAUUUUGAGAGUAUUAGCAUAUUAUGGUUGAUGUCAAGAAUACAAAAUUGUUAGCCUCAUCAGGGAAGGCUGAGCUGAGUCCCCUGCAGGCCAUGGUCUUUAAGGAGAGCAUCCAUCUACUACAUCCCGACCCCACGUGCUAUUGAGUGAAUAGAAUGCUGACAACAAGGAAGGCCCAGAAUGGGUGUAAAUGGUCACACCUUUCAUCAAAAUUAAUGCUUUCCUUUCCUUGCUGUACCUAAUUUAAUCCCCAAAC